CAUCGAGAUGUGAAGAGCAGCAACAUCCUUCUCAGAACCGACGGCUCUGUCAAGCUGGCUGACUCUGGCCUCUUUGCUCAGCUCACCCCUGAGCAGAGUCGACGGAGCUCAGUGGCCAGCAUUUCUGGGUGGAUGGCGCCUGAAGUGGUGACAGGUCAACCAUGUGGCCCCAAAGUGGACAUAUGGUCUCUUGGAAUCGUGGGCAUCGAAAUGGUGGAAGGAGAAGUUCCUUACUGGAAUGAAACUCCUGUUUCGCACAUCAGCAUCUGCUGUCGAUUUGGUUGCAUCAGAAGGGAAGAGGAAGGUAACCAGUUCAGAAACCUAACCAGUUCAGAAACCUGCCAUUUUGGCCUCCAGCCAUGCCUGACAUUUUUCACUUGCUUUUUGAACAAUGUUGGAGCUCUGUCUCUGAA